rnacentral:misc_RNA from 1 species
AAAAAACAAAAACUUAUUUUAAUAAUAUUAAAUAAAUGGAUGAGAAGAGGAUUGUGUAGGAGGAACGCUAUUAUCAUUAGCGUUUUGGGGUCACAGUCCAACAGCAUUUUACCCCAUAGUGAAUAUACGCUAUUUUUAUUAGGGUUUUACUCUUUGUUUGCUAUUUUUGUUAGCAUUUUGUUGUGCUGCCAGUUUAGAAGUGGGCCACAAUGUAUAAACGCUAUUAUUAUUAGCGUUUUGAUGUUUGUACGCUAUUUUGAUUAGCGUCUUUCUGUCAGUUGACUUUCUUUCACCCCCUUUCUGUAAUUUAGUUCAUUUGCACCUUUUCCCGUAAAUUUAAUACUUCAUUCACACCUGUACGGAAAAAUUCCCAUUAUUUGGUAAUAGCCAAAUGCCCAAAUCAACAGAGAAUUGGUGAAUUUUUUAUGAUUCCCUUGUCUU